UACAUGCAAGUCGAGCGGACAGAAGGGAGCUUGCUCCCGGAUGUUAGCGGCGGACGGGUGAGUAACACGUGGGUAACCUGCCUGUAAGACUGGGAUAACUCCGGGAAACCGGAGCUAAUACCGGAUAGUUCCUUGAACCGCAUGGUUCAAGGAUGAAAGACGGUUUCGGCUGUCACUUACAGAUGGACCCGCGGCGCAUUAGCUAGUUGGUGAGGUAACGGCUCACCAAGGCGACGAUGCGUAGCCGACCUGAGAGGGUGAUCGGCCACACUGGGACUGAGACACGGCCCAGACUCCUACGGGAGGCAGCAGUAGGGAAUCUUCCGCAAUGGACGAAAGUCUGACGGAGCAACGCCGCGUGAGUGAUGAAGGUUUUCGGAUCGUAAAGCUCUGUUGUUAGGGAAGAACAAGUGCAAGAGUAACUGCUUGCACCUUGACGGUACCUAACCAGAAAGCCACGGCUAACUACGUGCCAGCAGCCGCGGUAAUACGUAGGUGGCAAGCGUUGUCCGGAAUUAUUGGGCGUAAAGGGCUCGCAGGCGGUUUCUUAAGUCUGAUGUGAAAGCCCCCGGCUCAACCGGGGAGGGUCAUUGGAAACUGGGAAACUUGAGUGCAGAAGAGGAGAGUGGAAUUCCACGUGUAGCGGUGAAAUGCGUAGAGAUGUGGAGGAACACCAGUGGCGAAGGCGACUCUCUGGUCUGUAACUGACGCUGAGGAGCGAAAGCGUGGGGAGCGAACAGGAUUAGAUACCCUGGUAGUCCACGCCGUAAACGAUGAGUGCUAAGUGUUAGGGGGUUUCCGCCCCUUAGUGCUGCAGCUAACGCAUUAAGCACUCCGCCUGGGGAGUACGGUCGCAAGACUGAAACUCAAAGGAAUUGAC
rnacentral:rRNA from 1 species